GCAAGUCGAACGGUAACGCGGAGAGCUUUCUCUCUGGCGACGAGUGGCGGACGGGUGAGUAAUACUUAGGAAUCUGCCCAGUAGUGGGGGACAACUCGGGGAAACUCGAGCUAAUACCGCAUACGCCCUACGGGGGAAAGCGGGGGAUCUUCGUACCUCGAGCUCUUGGAUGAGCCUAAGCCGGAUCAGCUUGUAGGUAGGGUAACGGCCUACCUAGGCGACGACCCGUAGCUGGUCUGAGAGGACGAUC
rnacentral:rRNA from 1 species